UAACAUAAACAAACUCAGCCGUCA
rnacentral:siRNA from 1 species